GAUGAACGCUGGCGGCGUGCUUAACACAUGCAAGUCGAACGAUGAAGCCCAGCUUGCUGGGCGGAUUAGUGGCGAACGGGUGAGUAACACGUGAGUAACCUGCCCUUGACUCUGGGAUAAGCCCGGGAAACUGGGUCUAAUACCGGAUAGGAGCGCCUGUCGCAUGACGGGUGCUGGAAAGAUCUUUCGGUCAUGGAUGGACUCGCGGCCGAUCAGCUUGUUGGUGAGGUACCGGCUCACCAAGGCGACGACGGGUAGCCGGCCUGAGAGGGUGAACGGACACACUGGGACUGAGACACGGCGCAGACCCUUAUGGGAGGCAGCAGUGGGGAAUGUGUCACGAUGGGCGAAAGCCUGAGGCUGCGACGCCGCGUGAGGGAUAACGGCCUUCGGGUUGUAAACCUCUUUCAGCAGAGAAGAAGCGAAAGUGACGGUACCUGCAGAAGAAGCUCCGGCUAACUACGUG
rnacentral:rRNA from 1 species